UUGUAGAUCAUGUCGUGGUUCAACUCACACCGACAUAACGUUUUGUUAUCAUAAUUCUCUCAUUCACUGUGACAGAAUACUUUCAAAAAAGCAGUAGUAGACAAUAGUAUGGACAAUAAUAGUUUAUUGGUUUUAAAAAAAGACCAAACUAACGAAGAAAAAGAGAAAGUGCCUUGGUGGAUAUCCCGACCUUAUUCGUUGAUUCUAAAAGAAUCGUUUCUUUCAUCUCACUAUGAGGAGAGUAUUCUAUUAACUGGGAUUAAAUCUAUAGACAAAUUUUUAGGAGGUGGAUUUCAUGCUGGGAAAAUUAUCGAAUUUGUUGGAGAAGGGGGAUCUGGAAAAACUCAAUGGGUACUAACUUUAACAGUUCAAGUUUUGUUGAACCCACCCAAAAGUUCAAGACAAUACCACGUUUUAUAUAUUCAUACAAAAGCAGCGUUCCCCAUAAAACGGUGGAUGGAUAUACUGGACGGCUUAACAAAAUACCAUUCAUAUAAAGAAACAGUUGCUCACGAUUUAAGAAAAAAGUUUGAGUAUUUAUCGCUUUAGGGUAUUUUGUUCAAAUGAAGUACAUUUUCAAGGAGCUCUGGAAUAUUUUUGUGCAAAAUUAUAAAUUUAUAAAGGAAAAUGUGAAAUUGCUGAUUAUUGAUUCUAUAAGCGAUAUCUUUCGACCUCUUUAUUAUGACACCGAUGAUGAGCGUUUAUUUGAAGUAAAUGUUCGAGCGCGUUUCUUUCUUCGAUUCACUAAAUUAAUUAACCGUAUAGCAGUUGAAUGUAAUGCAUUUGUAAUACUUGUUAAUGGGGUUACCCAGGAUAUUGAAAAAAGGUAACGUGAAAAGAAAAAAUGUAUUCCAAAUUUUUUUUGUCCUUCUACGCUGUAUAUAUUUAGCAAGGUGGUUCCCGCUUUGGGAUUAGCGUGGUCAAGCUGUGUGAACACUCGAUGUUAUUUAACCAAGACAGUGGAAGGAGAAGAGUACACUUGUGGCCAUCGUUAUGUGACGAUAAAUCAUUCAUCGUACGCCCCCUUUAUCAGAUCUUGUUUUGUGAUCGAUUCCAUCAAAGGAGUAUGUGAAUGUUGUAUCUGCCGAGAUAAAAACAAUUCGAAAUUGGAAGGCAUGGAAUGAGUCCUAUAAACCAAUGGAGUUUGUCUGUAUUUCUUACCCCAGUUUGCCGUUGAAAAAUGAAAAGUUAUUUUUCAUAUUUAAAAAACAUUUUUAAUUGUUUGAAAAUAAUUGGUAUUAUUUACCCUUAUAAAUUCAGCGUCUUACAUUUUAAAGAAACACCCAUUGUUUUCUCUGUAUUAAAAAAAGAUACACCUUAUUUCAUGGUGGAGUCUUUCUUUGAAUUCUUUUAAAUGACCGUGUCACAAAAAGAAUGAUAAAAACUUUUAAGGCUAAAGGAAGUCAUAUAUUAAAUUAGA